CCCUUAGAUGUUCUGGGCGGCCCGCGCACUACAUUGGCACUGUCAGCAAGGGUCUGAAACUAAAACUUUUGGGUAUUCUGAGAACCGGUGUCGUGACUGGGAUUGACCCUUGCAAUUAUUGGUUAUGAACGAGGAAUUCCUUGUAAUCGCGGUUUAUCAGCCCGCGUUGAAUGCGUCCCUGCCCUUUGUACACACCGCCCGUCGCUCCUACCGAUGAAUCGUCCGGUGAAGUUCAUGGAGUAGUGGUUGUUCCAUCCGCUGUCGAAGUGAAAUAAACCUCAGGAUUUAGAGGAAGGAGAAGUCGUAACA
rnacentral:rRNA from 1 species